rnacentral:tRNA from 1 species
UGGUGGUUGCCUCAGUGGUUAGAGUGUAGGUCUCGUAACCGAUAGGUCGCGGCAUCGAAUCCCGCUAGAGGCUG